GCCGACGUGGCUCAGUUGGUAGAGCAACGCUUUCGUAAAGCGUAGGUCGCCGGUUCGAGUCCGGCCGUCGGCUCCA
rnacentral:tRNA from 1 species